rnacentral:hammerhead_ribozyme from 2 species
GGGCGAAACGCCUUCGGGCGUCUGGCGGGGUGGUUACCCGUCACUGAUGAGCCAGCCAUAC